rnacentral:rRNA from 1 species
AGUGAACGCUGGCGGUAGGCCUAACACAUGCAAGUCGAACGGCAGCACAGUAAGAGCUUGCUCUUACGGGUGGCGAGUGGCGGACGGGUGAGGAAUACAUCGGAAUCUACUUUUUCGUGGGGGAUAACGUAGGGAAACUUACGCUAAUACCGCAUGCGACCUACGGGUGAAAGCAGGGGAUCUUCGGACCUUGCGCGAUUGAAUGAGCCGAUGUCGGAUUAGCUAGUUGGCGGGGUAAAGGCCCACCAAGGCGACGAUCCGUAGCUGGUCUGAGAGGGUGAUCAGCCACACUGGAACUGAGACACGGUCCAGAGUCCUACGGGAGGCAGCAGGGGGGAAUAGUGGAAAAUGGGCGCAAGCCUGAUCCAGCCAUACCGCGUGGGUGAAGAAGGCCUUCGGGUUGUAAAGCCCUUUUGUUGGGAAAGAAAAGCAGCAGGUUAAUACCCCGCUGUUCUGACGGUACCCAAAGAAUAAGCACCGGCUAACUUCGUG